GCUCGCUGGGAAGAAAAGUGGCGCACGGGUGCGUAACGCGUAUGCAACCUACCUUUGAUCAGGGGGAUAGCCCGAAGAAAUUCGGAUUAACACCGCAUAAAAACACAGUACAGCAUUGUACAAUGUUCAAAUAUUUAUAGGAUCAGGAUGGGCAUGCGUGACAUUAGUUAGUUGGCGGGGUAACGGCCCACCAAGACCACGAUGUCUAGGGGAUCUGAGAGGAUGACCCCCCACACUGGUACUGAGACACGGACCAGACUCCUACGGGAGGCAGCAGUAAGGAAUAUUGGUCAAUGGAGGCAACUCUGAACCAGCCAUGCCGCGUGCAGGAAGACAGCCCUCUGGGUCGUAAACUGCUUUUAUUCGGGAAUAAACCUACUUACGUGUAAGUAGCUGAAUGUACCGAAGGAAUAAGGAUCGGCUAACUCCGUGCCAGCAGCCGCGGUAAUACGGAGGAUCCAAGCGUUAUCCGGAUUUAUUGGGUUUAAAGGGUGCGUAGGCGGCUUUUUAAGUCAGGGGUGAAAGACGGUGGCUCAACCAUCGCAGUGCCCUUGAUACUGAAGAGCUUGAAUGAACUAGAGGUAGGCGGAAUGUGACAAGUAGCGGUGAAAUGCAUAGAUAUGUCACAGAACACCGAUUGCGAAGGCAGCUUACUAUGGUUAUAUUGACGCUGAGGCACGAAAGCGUGGGGGAUCAAACAGGAUUAGAUACCCUGGUAGUCCACGCCCUAAACGAUGAAUACUCGCUGUUAGCGAUACACAGUUAGCGGCUAAGCGAAAGCGUUAAGUAUUCCACCUGGGGAGUACGGUCGCAAGAUUGAAACUCAAAGGAAUUGACGGGGGCCCGCACAAGCGGAGGAGCAUGUGGUUUAAUUCGAUGAUACGCGAGGAA
rnacentral:rRNA from 1 species